ensembl:lncRNA
CGAUGAUGCUGGAAACCGAAGGCAGCAGCGUGAGGUGAACUGAAUUUCAGAGUGAAAGAGAUCUUUGGUUUUGCCUUUGCUGACUGCUGAUCUGAUCGUCUCAAGUCUGGUGACCUGCUGCAGAAAACCCUCUCCCUCUAUCGUUGACAAGCAAUUAACAAGCAAUUUCAGUCUGUCCUAUCACUCUCCCUCUCCCUGCUCCAUCUUUUUUGACAAGCCAUUCUAUCUUCUAUCAUUUCUCCGCCAUGAGCUCUAUCUAAUUUUGACAAGCUUAAACCUGUGUUGACAAGAAACCAAGUUUGACAAGAAACCAAGUUUGACAAGAAACCAAGUUUGACAAAAAAACAAGUUUUUGGAAAUUGAGGUUACCACAACUUCGACGAUCUGUUUUCAGAAAUCUGAGAGAUCUCUGCUCUCACUGCUCCUUCUUUCCUGUCGUUAAACUCAUCCAC